UACGUAGGGGGCGAGCGUUGUCCGGAGUUACUGGGCGUAAAGCGCACGCAGGCGGUCUGCUAAGUUUGGAGUGACAGUUGGUGGCUUAACUGCCAAAGUACUUCGAAAACUGACAGACUUGAGGGCUUCAGAGGGACACGGAAUUCCGGGUGGAGUGGUGAAAUGCGCAGAUAUCGGGAAGAACACCUAUGGCGAAGGCAGCUCUCUGGGACGGUACUGACGCUGAGACGCGAAAGCGUGGGGAGCGAACAGG
rnacentral:rRNA from 1 species